rnacentral:rRNA from 1 species
AUUGAACGCUGGCGGCAGGCUUAACACAUGCAAGUCGAACGCGUGGCGGACGGGUGAGAAAUGCUUGUGAAUCUACCUUAUGGAGGGGGUUAACUACGGGAAACUGUAGCUAAUACCGCGUACCUUACUAUGAACCUAAGUGGGAUUAGGUAGUUGGUGAGGUAAAGGCUCACCAAGUCGACGAUCUAUAGCUGGUCUGAGAGGAUGACAAGGCACACUGGUACUGAGACAGGGCCCAGACUCCUACGGGAGGCAGCAGUGGGGAAUAUUGCGCAAUGGGGGCAACCUGACGCAGCCAUGCCGCGUGAAUGAAGAAGGCCUUCGGGUUGUAAAGUGCUUUCGGUAGCGAGGCGUUAACUAAAGAAGAAGCACCGGCUAACUCCGUGCCAGCAGCCGCGGUAAUUC